rnacentral:rRNA from 1 species
CCCAGACUCCUACGGGAGGCAGCAGUGAGGAAUAUUGGUCAAUGGCCGAGAGGCUGAACCAGCCAAGUCGCGUGAGGGAAGACGGCCCUACGGGUUGUAAACCUCUUUUGUCGGGGGGCAAAGCGAACCACGUGUGGUUCAUUGAGAGUACCCGAAGAAAAAGCAUCGGCUAACUCCGUGCCAGCAGCCGCGGUAAUACGGAGGAUGCGAGCAUUAUCCGGAUUUAUUGGGUUUAAAGGGUGCGUAGGCGGGACGGUAAGUCAGCGGUAAAAAGGCGGAGCUCAACUCCGUCGAGCCGUUGAAACUGCCGUUCUUGAGUGAGCGAGAAGUAUGCGGAAUGCGUGGUGUAGCGGUGAAAUGCAUAGAUAUCACGCAGAACUCCGAUUGCGAAGGCAGCAUACCGGCGCUCAACUGACGCUGAAGCACGAAGGCGUGGGUAUCGAACAGGAUUAGAUACCCCUGUAUU